UACGGAGGAUCCGAGCGUUAUCCGGAUUUAUUGGGUUUAAAGGGUGCGCAGGCGGGAGAUUAAGUCGGCGGUGAAAUUUUGAAGCUCAACUGUAAAAGUGCCUUCGAAACUGGUUUCCUUGAGUGUAGAUGAAGUAGGCGGAAUUUGUGGUGUAGCGGUGAAAUGCAUAGAUAUCACGAGGAACUCCGAUUGCGAAGGCAGCUUACUAAGCUACUACUGACGCUCAGGCACGAAGGCGUGGGGAUCAAACAGGAUUAGAUACCCCCGUAGUCCCU
rnacentral:rRNA from 1 species